AUGAAAUUAUGUAUUGGUAUAGGCGUGAAGGAAGAAGGCUCAAGUGCUAAGAAAACGGAAGGUUCACAAGAUCGAGGUAAAUCCUCGACUUAGGCGAUUGGACGACUUGGAACGUGCACACAUGGUUUACGCCCGCUUCUCGCUUCCGUUGUUAAGCCCCUUUUUGGAAUGGUUUAAGACUUGGUCUUAUGUAUUUAAGUCUAGUUAGUAUGUUGUCAUCCUUGUCGUAGGGUAAAAAUUUGGUAGAUGGAAAUCAUGUCGUGACCAAUGUGAACUUGUUUGUUUGUUUUGGGUUUUUGUCAGAAAUGUUAAAUGUUUAAGUUUGGUUUGUA
rnacentral:lncRNA from 1 species